rnacentral:tRNA from 1 species
UCUUAAUAUAUACAAUGUGUUAAAUUUAGAAUUUAAAUAAGGAAAUUACCAGAGAUGAGGA